rnacentral:lncRNA from 1 species
CUACUCGUAUGGACAGGUUGCCCAACUUUGUGUCGUUUCUUUCUUGUAUAAGCUGAUAAUGCACUUCCUGUAUAUUAUCCGUGAUUAAUAAAAUAUUUGAUUACUUAUAAAAAAUAAUAAUAAUAAUAAUAAUAGUCAUCACUAAUGGUUUGUAAGCACUGAGCAAUACUUCUUCCACAUGCCUGUAAGUGAUGCCAUACAUAGGAUGCUGAUUUCCCUUAUAUAUUCAGUGGAAUGUAGAUCAGUGCGUCGCUGCUUAGUUUUCGUAGUUUGUCGUGUACUUGGUAAUCCUUUUUAUCUUACUCAGUUAUAUUUUGCAGGUGGAUGAAUUACAGAAUAACAUUGAGGAGGAGCAGAGAAAUCUAAUGGAGGAAAUGCGAACGUCAUUUGAUGAGAAUAGGACUGGAGUUGAGGAUGCCACUGGGGAUCCCCAAGCCAUGGCUCUUGAUUAGCUAGUAAAUUGCACUUUUGCCUGGGUACUCGUAAUAUUUGCUGCUGCACUUUGUUUUCUAUGUUUUGUCUGUACUGGAAUAUUAUCUGAAGACAACUGCCAACAAUAAUACGAUCUAUUCUGAAAAUUUGAUUGAAUCUCAUGUACUUUUCGAGGGACCUCUUUUCUUCUUUGUGUAAAUAUUGUAAGCAACGGGUGCGAGUUUGCAUCCUUGUAAACGAUACAAUCAAAUUUGAAACGUGAUCUGCACGCUUAAGGAGAAUGGCCAAGCCUGAGCAAUAUAGGAUACCUUUUUCCUCAUCCUAGCGUUGCUUAUAUAAGCAGUAAUGUAGUCAUAAGGUGCAAGAUUGUAUUUUAAAAUGGAAUCCCUAGGCUUGUGUCUUUAAUCUGAAUUUUGCAUGGGUGAAAUUUCUGCUUCAAACAUAUUAAGCAAGUAGGCGAUGUCUUUUUCAGCUUCAACCAACCGUUAUCAUGAUAUUUAGCAUUAUCUGAAGUCCU